rnacentral:rRNA from 1 species
AGUGAACGCUGGCGGUAGGCCUAACACAUGCAAGUCGAACGGCAGCACAGGAGAGCUUGCUCUCUGGGUGGCGAGUGGCGGACGGGUGAGGAAUACAUCGGAAUCUACUCUGUCGUGGGGGAUAACGUAGGGAAACUUACGCUAAUACCGCAUACGACCUACGGGUGAAAGCAGGGGACCUUCGGGCCUUGCGCGAUUGAAUGAGCCGAUGUCGGAUUAGCUAGUUGGCGGGGUAAAGGCCCACCAAGGCGACGAUCCGUAGCUGGUCUGGGAGGAUGAGCAGCCAAACUGGAACUGAGACACGGUUCAGACUCCUACGGGAGGCAGCAGUGGGGAAUAUUGGACAAUGGGCGCAAGCCUGAUCCAGCCAUACCGCGUGGGUGAAGAAGGCCUUCGGGUUGUAAAGCCCUUUUGUUGGGAAAGAAAUCCAGCUGGCUAAUACCCGGUUGGGAUGACGGUACCCAAAGAAUAAGCACCGGCUAACUUCGUGCCAGCCGCCGCGGUAA